rnacentral:rRNA from 1 species
UGGCGGACGGGUGAGUAAUGCAUCGGAACGUGCCCAUGUCGUGGGGGAUAACGUAGCGAAAGCUACGCUAAUACCGCAUACGCCCUGAGGGGGAAAGCGGGAGAUUCUUCGGAACCUCGUGCGAUUGGAGCGGCCGAUGUCGGAUUAGCUAGUUGGUGGGGUAAAGGCCCACCAAGGCGACGAUCCGUAGCGGGUCUGAGAGGAUGAUCCGCCACACUGGGACUGAGACACGGCCCAGACUCCUACGGGAGGCAGCAGUGGGGAAUUUUGGACAAUGGGGGCAACCCUGAUCCAGCCAUGCCGCGUGAGUGAAGAAGGCCUUCGGGUUGUAAAGCUCUUUCGGCCGGGAAGAAAUCGUGGUCUCUAACAUAGGCCAUGGAUGACGGUACCGGACUAAGAAGCACCGGCUAACUACGUGCCAGCAGCCGCGGUAAUA